rnacentral:rRNA from 1 species
AGCGAACGCUGGCGGCAGGCUUAACACAUGCAAGUCGAGCGGGCGUAGCAAUACGUCAGCGGCAGACGGGUGAGUAACGCGUGGGAACGUACCUUUUGGUUCGGAACAACACAGGGAAACUUGUGCUAAUACCGGAUAAGCCCUUACGGGGAAAGAUUUAUCGCCGAAAGAUCGGCCCGCGUCUGAUUAGCUAGUUGGUAGGGUAAUGGCCUACCAAGGCGACGAUCAGUAGCUGGUCUGAGAGGGUGAUCAGCCACAUUGGGACUGAGACACGGCCCAAACUCCUACGGGAGGCAGCAGGGGGGAAUAUUGGACAAUGGGGGCAACCCUGAUCCAGCCAUGCCGCGUGAGUGAUGAAGGCCCUAGGGUUGUAAAGCUCUUUUGUGCGGGAAGAUAAUGACGGUACCGCAAGAAUAAGCCCCGGCUAACUUCGUGCCAGCAGCCGCGGUAA